GGUGCCAACAUCUCCGGUGGCCAUGUUAACCCUGCUGUCACUUUUGGCCUGGCUCUUGGUGGCCAAAUCACCAUCCUCACUGGCAUCUUCUACUGGAUUGCCCAGCUCCUUGGCUCCAUUGCUGCAUGCUACCUUCUCAAAGUUGUCACUGGAGGCUUGGUAAUUAAGAUCGAUAUAUAUUUUGCAUCUUAUUAUAUAUUGAAUCACUCUACUGGGACGACCUCCUAAUACAUAUAUGAAAAUCUCCAUGCAUUUUCUUUUAAAACUCUUCUUCUUUUAUGGUAAGAAGCAUGUUUUCAAGAGAAAUGAGCUUAAUUUAUUAACUUUCCCUUAAGCUUGACUCUCUAUAUGAUUACCUGGUUUCAACAGGCAGUCCCCAUCCACAGUGUUGCAGCUGGAGUAGGAGCCAUUGAAGGAGUCGUCAUGGAGGUCAUCAUCACAUUUGCCUUGGUUUACACUGUCUAUGCAACUGCUGCU
rnacentral:lncRNA from 1 species